CUACGGGCCGCAGCAGUGGGGAAUCUUAGACAAUGGGCGCAAGCCUGAUCUAGCCAUGCCGCGUGAGUGACGAAGGCCUUAGGGUCGUAAAGCUCUUUCGCUGGAGAAGAUAAUGACGGUAUCCAGUAAAGAAACCCCGGCUAACUCCGUGCCAGCAGCCGCGGUAAUACGGAGGGGGUUAGCGUUGUUCGGAAUUACUGGGCGUAAAGCGCGCGUAGGCGGACCAGAAAGUUGGGGGUGAAAUCCCGGGGCUCAACCUCGGAACUGCCUCCAAAACUCCUGGUCUUGAGUUCGAGAGAGGGGAGUGGAAUUCCGAGUGUAGAGGUGAAAUUCGUAGAUAUUCGGAGGAACACCAGUGGCGAAGGCGGCUCACUGGCUCGAUACUGACGCUGAGGUGCGAAAGCGUGGGGAGCAAACAGGAUUAGAUACCCCCGUAGUC
rnacentral:rRNA from 1 species